rnacentral:rRNA from 1 species
GACGAACGCUGGCGGCGUGCCUAAUACAUGCAAGUAGAACGCUGAAGGAGGAGCUUGCUCUUCUGGAUGAGUUGCGAACGGGUGAGUAACGCGUAGGUAACCUGCCUGGUAGCGGGGGAUAACUAUUGGAAACGAUAGCUAAUACCGCAUAACAGUAGAUGUUGCAUGACAUUUACUUAAAAGGUGCAAUUGCAUCACUACCAGAUGGACCUGCGUUGUAUUAGCUAGUUGGUGGGGUAACGGCUCACCAAGGCGACGAUACAUAGCCGACCUGAGAGGGGGAUCGGCCACACUGGGACUGAGACACGGCCCAGACUCCUACGGGAGGCAGCAGUAGGGAAUCUUCGGCAAUGGACGGAAGUCUGACCGAGCAACGCCGCGUGAGUGAAGAAGGUUUUCGGAUCGUAAAGCUCUGUUGUAAGAGAAGAACGAGUGUGAGAGUGGAAAGUUCACACUGUGACGGUAUCUGACCAGAAAGGGACGGCUAACUACGUG